GGCCUAAUGGUCUAGUAGUAUGAUUCUCGCUUUGGGUGGGGAUUAUAUUGCCACAAAUUGCCAUUUGCGAGAGGUCCUGGGUUCAAUUCCCAGUUGGGCCC